rnacentral:rRNA from 1 species
GAUGAACGCUGGCGGCGUGCCUAAUACAUGCAAGUCGAGCGAACAGAUGAGGAGCUUGCUCCUCUGACGUUAGCGGCGGACGGGUGAGUAACAUGUGGAUAACCUACCUAUAAGACUGGGAUAACUUCGGGAAACCGGAGCUAAUACCGGAGAAUAUAUUGAACCGCAUGGGUCAAUAGUGAAAGACGGUUUUGCUGUCACUUAUAGAUGGAUCCGCGCCGCAUUAGCUAGUUGGUAAGGUAACGGCUUACCAAGGCAACGAUGCGUAGCCGACCUGAGAGGGUGAUCGGCCACACUGGAACUGAGACACGGUCCAGACUCCUACGGGAGGCAGCAGUAGGGAAUUUUCCGCAAUGGGCGAAAGCCUGACGGAGCAACGCCGCGUGAGUGAUGAAGGUCUUCGGAUCGUAAAACUCUGUUAUUCGGGAAGAACAAAUGUGUAAGUAACUAUGCACGUCUUGACGGUACCUAAUCAGAAAGCCACGGCUAACUACGUG